rnacentral:rRNA from 1 species
AGUGAUUUUGUUUAAAUAGCCGCAGUAUUUUGACUGUGCAAAGGUAGCAUAAUAAAUUGUCUUUUAAUUGAAGGCUGGAAUGAAUGAUAGGAUGUGAUAGACGCUGUCUUUAUAAUAGUUGAUUGAAAUUUACUUUUUGAUGAGAAGGUUAAGAUGUAGUUGGUAGACGAGAAGACCCUAUCAAGCUUUACUUGGAUAAUUGUUUUACUUUUUUUAUUUAGUUGGUGGAUUGUAUUCUAAGUUUUGUUGGGGCAAUGUUUGAAUAUAAUAUAAUUUUUUAUUUUUGUUUAUUGUGUGAUCCAUCAUUGGUGAUUGAGAGAUUAAGUUACUGUAGGGAUAACAGCGUAAUUGAUUUGGAGAGUUCAUAUUGGUAAAUUAGAUUGCGACCUCGAUGUUGGUUUAGUGGAUCUUUAGGGUGCAGGAGCUUUAGAAGAG